rnacentral:rRNA from 1 species
UUUAAUUGAAGAGUUUGAUCAUGGCUCAGAUUGAACGCUGGCGGCAGGCCUAACACAUGCAAGUCGAGCGGCAGCACAGAGGAACUUGUUCCUUGGGUGGCGAGCGGCGGACGGGUGAGUAAUGCCUGGGAAAUUGCCCGGUAGAGGGGGAUAACCAUUGGAAACGAUGGCUAAUACCGCAUAACCUCGUAAGAGCAAAGCAGGGGACCUUCGGGCCUUGCGCUACCGGAUAUGCCCAGGUGGGAUUAGCUAGUUGGUGAGGUAAGGGCUCACCAA